rnacentral:lncRNA from 1 species
AAUAAAAGGUCCAUGUGUCCAUGUGCCAUUUCCAUGUGUCACCAACUAGGAGAGUCCAAAGGUUCACAUAGGUAUGAAUUCACCAUUUGAGAGCCAUAAAAGCGGCCACUCCCAAGUUCUUCCCAUGCUCUCAUGUUGUAUAUCCGUGAAGGUAUUUAGUGCAAGGCCCUGGGGGUGGACUAGUAACAAGGUAUAUAGCACAUGUCCGAGGACAAAUUGGAGCUACAAGACAAUGCCGUCAUUAGCUCUUUGUCCUUUUAAAUUAUACUUAUUCAGGUAGUUACUGCCUGGUUACAAAGAAGUAAUUAAAAAAAAAAUGUGCCAAAUAAAGCCCUGGGGUCCAUAUAAAAAACACUUUAAAAGAUGGCCGGGGGCAGGAUAGACUUCAGCAAGUCUCAAGAGUUGGGUUUAAUUCAACUUCUAAGUGGUGUAUUAAAUAAAAUCCCCAGAGACUCAUGGGCCCUAAACAUGGUCUGUGUUAGCAUCAGAAUCUGCCUCUCUUCAAAUCUGAGUGAUUUACUAUACUUUUGGGGAUUUGUAAAAUAAAUAUGUGAUUCUCCCUACAUGUAUCACUGGAGUUGCUUCAAACACAAAGAACAUUGCCCUGGGAAAUGGAAAAAGUACCAGGGAAAAGAAUGUUGCUUUGACAAUAUUCAACACAAUACGAUUAGCUACAGAAGUAGGCCAAAAACAAGGUUUCUUCAUUGUCGGUAGAAACUGCUUAUAAAGAACUUGGUGGGAAAUCAAUGCUUCCAUAUCCUCCCUUUUCAGGUCAUUUUAUUCCUGUUCUAUUGCUCAGUUUACAGGAAAUUCUGAUAACAAAGAACACUAAUGUCUCCUAACCUUUUUACCCACUGAGUUGCCAUAUUCCAAGCGGAGGAUUUCUGUGUGCCUAAGAUUGAAUGUGUUCACCCCAAGCAUACUGCAGCUUCUUACACCAUUUUUUCAUAUCUGAAUAGAGUCUGUCAGGAAGGUGAUGGAUGAAUCUUACUGGGAGACUAAUCUUACUGAGAGACUUUUAAGUAAGAUCUAUAAACUCUCUUUGAUAUGUUUAGAAAAUAUGUUGCAGAAAAUUACUGGUGAUUAAUUAAAGCAGCAAGAAAAAAAACAGGAAAACCCAGAAAUUUAAACUUUGGAUAUAUCUUUUUACUAAUCAUAAAUGUACAGAUAUAAUUAAAUAUAUAAUACCAUAUAUUGUGAAACAAUGACCAAAAUGACUCUAUGAAACAUAAUUCCUAAUGGACUACUCUAUUUUCCUUUUAUUAAGACGGACCUAAUAGAAUUGGAUAACCCAAUGGACAAAGUAGUUAGUACCUAUAUUUAAGUACAGUUUUAGAUUCUGUUACCAGGAUGUUCUCAACAGCAUACAAGAAAAUUAUGGUCAUAUCUGGAACACUCUCCCUUAGUCUUCACCCUGAUACUUGAUACAUGCUAGGAGCCCAUUAAAUGUCUUUUUGAUAAUGAUAAUUUUUCUUUAAAAGUCUCGGGGCAUCAUUAUUCUUACAGCAGGAAGUUUUCUUUCUUUCCUUUCACAAAGAACAUUCUAAAAGCUACAGGAUGGAAGCCAGCAUAGCUUGUGCCUCUUUCCAUUAUCUACUGUAAUUCCUAAUCUCUCUCUCUACUAAGAGAAAAGAAUCUUUUCUUUUGAUUGUUUGGUCACACCACACUACAACUCAAACAUUCUGAGCUGACCCAGUGGGGACAUGCAAACAUUUUCCAUAAGAGCCUUGUGGUCAGUGAUAUACAGGUUCAGAAUUCUGGGAUCUAUUAUUAACAAGCCAUGAGAAGUCAGAAAUCCUUUCAAGCUCUUGUACUCUGCUUCUUUGACCAUCACAAGAGAAUUCAACUUUCUGUUUAACUUAGAAAGGCUUGGGAUAAAGGGAUGGGGGAAGUGUCUAUGUAUUUGUCAUCUGUUUUUAAGGUUAAUUAAUAAUCUCUCUCACAAGAGAGAAAAAGAAGGCUCUCUUCCAGGCCUCUUUGUUUCUUCUCUGCCUAGAAUGCAUAUUCCCAUGUUUUCACGUAGCUAAUUCUUUAACUUUUUUUAUGUCUCAGCUGCAUCAGGGAAACAUUCACUAGUCCUUGUGAUAGCAAGGCUCCAUUAACAUCUGUUUCAACCUUUUUCUAGUGAGUCUUCAUCUUCCGAAGAGGCUAGACAGCUAACAAAAAUACAUUUCCUUGACUCUCUUGCAACUUGGAUUCCAGAUAGAUUUGGUUUCGGCAAUGAGGCAAACUUGAGUGAGACUUGAAUUUCAAACUAAUGUAGUGACACAUGGGAAACUCAUUAUUUUGGGGGGACGUGACUCUAGAGGGAAUACUGCAGUCCUGCAGCUUGCAGUUCUGCUAGCAGCUUUCUGACUCUGGCCUAUGUAUGUAGAAGUUUCCAUAGUGAGCCAGAACAGCAAUUUUGUUCUAGGACUUAUUCCUGGGAUGACUUACCUACCCUUUCCAAUGAUUUGAAAGUACUUAGUUAAAUUCUUUUCUGCUUAAAAUAGCUACAGUAGUUGCUACUACCUGCAGUUGAACCCUGUUGAUGCUCUAUUUUGCAACGAAAGCAUGUGUAGGCAACAGACUCUCAAAAGUUUGAAUAUUUGACCUGAUGAGUUUGAAGGCAGAGGGGAUCCGUUUCCAUUAGAGCAGCAGUUCUCAAAGUUAAGUUCCUGGACCAGCAGCAUCAGCAUCUGGGAACUUGUUAAAAAUGCAAAUUCUUGGGUCCCAACACAGACCUACUGAAUCAGAAACCCUGGGAGUGGGGCUCAGCAAUCUGCGUUACAAAAACCUUCCAGGUGAUUCUGAUGAAUGCUGAACUUUGAGAACCACUGCAUUAGGGAUAGGUUAUUGGUAGUAAAUAGUAGUUAACAGUCAUUUUAAGUGAACAGUUUAGAAAAAAAUGCCUUUUUGUGGACCCAGUGGUGACUGCCAUAUCACAGUGUGAUGGGCAGAAACUAUUAUAGGCUUUCUAAAAGUCUGGGUUUUCCAGAAUCCAUUCAUUGAUUCAUUCAUUGAUUCAAUCAUUAGACAAAACACAUAAACCAAGUUCAUGUUAAGCAAUCACUAAAUGACAGCUAUUAUUAUUAUCACCAAGAACUAACAGCCUGAAGGGAAAGAUAGAUACAUAAAUGAAAUACAUAUUUUUUAAGUGGAAUAACAGAAGGAAGAUACUUCUUAAUGGAGAGCAGUUUAAUUCCAGCAAUCACACACAUGUGUGAUCAAGACAGGGUCAUGGGAAGUUUUUGGCUCUGAAAGGUUAAGGUCAAGAUGAGGAAAAUUCUGGCCUAAGAAAUCCUGCCUAAAUGGUCAGCUAAGCUAUAAGGACUGAACUGAAACAGCACUGCCUCCGUGACAAAAAUGAGAAGCUAUUUUAUAAAACCAAACCCUGGUAUAUAUUUUACUGUUCUAACAAGAAAGGAAGGUUGCCGGGACUGACCCACAGACCCUGACAGAGCAACAGAUGAGAAAAUGCACUCUGACCCAGAUAUCCAAUGAAAGAGCAGGCUAGGGGACCAGGUAACCCACAGAAAGAGUUGUAGCAGCUGCAGCCCUGACAAGCUGGGGCUGCAGGCAUUUAUUUAGUACAGAUUUAAUGACAGAGGCCUUGAGUCAACACACUUGUGGGUAAUUAACAUGGUCACCCCUCAUCCCCUUUCUAUCUAACCUAAGCUUUUAGGCACCGGAUAAGAGAAUCUGGCUGCCUUCAGCCAAAUCCUUUUCCGAAGCUUUUGUAAAACCUCCCAGCCUUCCAAGAAGGUUUGCAUCUUUCCACAGUUUUUCCCGCCACCCUGACUGAUCUCCUACAGAAGGCAAAAAAGGCUGUCAAUCAAUGAAUCAAAUAUUUACUUCCUAGUUUUUCAGAUAAUAAAUAAGCACUUAUUAUAUUCUGAUAAUUAAUUAACUUUCUAAUAACCAUAACAGGUCAGCCGGGGUCCUUUUAUUAUUAUCUCCGCAACUUGCAACUAAGGAUCAUUAAAAGAUAUAUGCAAAAUGCUCAGUUUAACACCUAAUUUAUGCUACACCCAAUUUUAAGCCAAGAGAAGGUUAGAUUUAUAAUGGGAUACAACACUCAAGCAACAGAAGUGGAAAAAAUAAAGAUUCUGAAUUUCCUAUCCACUAAUUACUUUGUUAUAACUGGAGAAAUUUUUCUGGACACAGGCGUAAAUAUUUAGUAGAUUUAAUUCUCUUAAGAAUAAAUUUGUUAAAAUAAAAAUUAAGAAAAUAUUUGAUAGCUUUUCCAUUUAUUUUGGGUUUUAAAUUGAGAUAACCAGACAAACGACAGCAAUUUUGGUGAUUGCUGGAUGAUACAAACACCUGUGUAGCUAGGGCUGUACAGGCAUUUUUAUUUGGUUGACAGACAACUAGAACUGAAAUCAGUUGCUGAAUUUCAACCAAUUUAAGUGAAUUACUUGACCUACAAGCUAUGUAACCCUAAAUUUCUCAAUGCAGCUGCCAGAAAUCUAUUUUCUAAAUGCAACAACAGCUGGUUUUGAACAAUACUGGAAUAUAGCAAUUUUCAGUUAUUC